rnacentral:rRNA from 1 species
UGGUGGAGUGAUUUGUCUGGUUAAUUCCGUUAACGAACGAGACCUUAGCCUACUAACUAGUCGCUUGAACUUGGUUCUUGCCGACUUCUUAGAGGGACUGUGUGAUCAAACACAAGGAAGUUUGAGGCAAUAACA